rnacentral:rRNA from 1 species
AACGUAGGUGGCGAGCGUUAUCCGGAUUUACUGGGCGUAAAGCGUGUGCAGGCGGGGCUCCAAGUGGUGUAUGAAAUUUCCCAGCUUAACUGGGAGAGGUUAUGCCAGACUGGAGUUCUAGAGUGCGAGAGGGGGGCGUGGAAUUCCGGGUGUAGUGGUGAAAUGCGUAGAGAUCCGGAGGAACCCCAGAGGCGAAGGCGGCGCCCUGGCUCGCAACUGACGCUCAGACACGACAGCAUGGGGAGCGAACGGG